ACUAAUGUGAUUUACUCAUUUGAGACUAUGGCAUGAAAAUUUAUAAUACUGUUAUCAAUGUUUUUAAUCAGUAGAAUUCGUCUUAGAAAAUCGAAAGAACCUACUUCAACACACAUUUAUAGAAUUAUCUUCAUAUAUGAAGAUGCUGUAGUAUAUUAUACUAAAGUACUUGGAGUUAAUAUGUGGCUGAGCACGAGCAUGGUCUCAACCAAAUGACUGAAACCAGUGAAAAAAUAAUAAUAAACGAUUUUAUGAAGUACAAAGUGUAAAUGACACAUACGAAUUUAUACAUACAUAAGAUUUUGUGUCCGGUUAAUGAAACCCCUGUUUACGGUGGACCUUCAUAAUCAUCCAAUAAAUAACAAAAAUAUUUAAA